GAUGAACGCUAGCUACAGGCUUAACACAUGCAGGUCGGGGGGUAACGAGAGGAAAGCUUGCUUUCCUUGUCGACGACCGGCGCACGGGUGAGUAACGCGUAUCCAACCUGCCCCCAACUAGGGAAUAACCUUGCGAAAGUAAGACUAAUACCCUAUAAUUUCCUCAGAUGACAUCUGACGAGGAAUAAAGAUUUAUCGGUUGUGGAUGGGGAUGCGUCUGAUUAGCUUGUUGGCGGGGUAACGGCCCACCAAGGCAACGAUCAGUAGGGGUUCUGAGAGGAAGGUCCCCCACAUUGGAACUGAGACACGGUCCAAACUCCUACGGGAGGCAGCAGUGAGGAAUAUUGGUCAAUGGGCGGAAGCCUGAACCAGCCAAGUAGCGUGCAGGAUGACGGCCCUAUGGGUUGUAAACUGCUUUUAUACAGGAAUAAAGUUAGCCACGUGUGGUUAUUUGUAGGUACUGUAUGAAUAAGGACCGGCUAAUUCCGUGCCAGCCGCCGCCGUAA
rnacentral:rRNA from 1 species